AUUUUUAUGUUUUUUUAACUCGUCUGAGACAAGAUUGCAGAAGAAUCCGAGGUGCAAAAUCAAGAGCAAUUACUAGCGCGAGCUGUUGCUGCUCAACAGACUGGAUAUUUUAUCCAUGCGAGCAGCUCCUGUGUUUGAGUGUUUUUGUAGUGCUACGUGAUUACCCUGCCUGCUAACACAACACGGUGUUGUCCAGAGUGUGCACUGUGAGCCCUGCUGAUCACACUCCACUGAGUUGCGCUUGUACGGCCUCUCAUCUUUGCUAACUCACACUGACAUGGUCCUUUGAUGUCACGAGGAGCAGAGCAGACCUCGGACAGUCCCAACAAAAGCAAUGUGAUCCAGGGCUGAUGUGUCCAAGCAUGCCUGCAGUCACCAGCCUACAAUGAACCAGGACAGCAGGGCUCCGCUUUGCAACCUCUGUGUUUACCUAAGAAUGAACCUGCAUGCUGUCUGUGCUGAACUUGACAUCUGAAUAAUCUGAGGAGAGAUGGUGCAGAACAGAAUGUGUGACAGUGUGAAGAUUUAGCCUAUUUUUUGCAAUUUCUUGGGGAUAGAGAGGGGAAACAUGGUAGUGCACACUCACUAAUACACCUUGCUAGUGUUUGAUUAGACCUACUUUUGCCUUCAGGACUGUUAUGACAAAGAUUCAGUAAUGUGCUGGAAACAUUCCUCGGAAUUUUGGGCUCACAUUGACUUGACAGAAUUAUGCAGCUGCUAUAAAGUUUCUCUUUGUUCACGGAUGUGUGUGUGUGUGUGUGACCCUGUACGGUCUUCUGCUACUGUAGCCCAUCUGCUUCAAGGUGUUGUGUGCUCUUCUGCUUACCUUGGUUCUAAAGACUGGGUCUUUUUCAGUGUGGCUGUUCUCACCUGAGAACUCCAGAGAACUUCCACUCAUUUUGUCCUUUUCACAUUCUCUGGUAGUGUUGGAAAAGUUUUUGAAACAAGCCAACAAUCAUGCUUCUUUAAAAGUCAUUUAAAUCACCUUUCUUCCCCUUUCUGAUGUUUUGUUUGAACGUAAAUGCCUAAAUGCACUGAGGGGCUGCCAUCUGAUUGGCUGUUUAGACAUUUGUUUUAAUGAGCAGCUAAUGGCUAAUUGAUAGAUUUGGGACCAAAUUUCCCAAAUCUAUCUAAUAAUGUGCUUUUGUAUGAAUUCAUUUAUUUCCUUUCAAUUUUAACUGUACCUCUGAUGAUAUAAAUUUCAGCUCGAUUACUAAAGUUCCCCAUCAAUAACCUGACAGGCUGCAGCUCUUUCUGUUGUGGGUGACAGCCCAGUCAUUUGCAC
ensembl:lncRNA